rnacentral:sRNA from 1 species
AGUCAGGAAUUUCCACCUGACCCACCAUUUACUCAUUCCUGGUAGAUAAGUCUGGGUUACUGGCUUUCAAUGUGAGGGAGAAGAUUACGUUAUGAAGGGAAAUACUGCUUGUUUGCCUCUGCUAUUAAUGUUGUGUUUCUUCACAGGAGUCUAUGGGUAAAACAUCAGGGAAGCUGUUUGAUAGCAGUGAUGAGGAAUCUGAUUCUGAAGAUGACAGUAAUAGGUUCAAAAUUAAGCCUCAGUUUGAGGGCAGAGCUGGACAGAAGCUCAUGGAUUUACAGUCGCACUUUGGCACUGAUGACAGAUUCCGCAUGGACUCUCGAUUUCUAGAAACUGACAGUGAAGAGGAACAGGAAGAGGUAAAUGAAAAGAAAACUGAGGAAGAAGAGCUUGCUGAAGAAAAAAAGA